AUGAACACUUCUCUGGCUUUAGGAAGUAUGAUGCUGCUGUUCAUGCUUGUGGGAACUGAUGGAGAUUCAGUGACUCAGAAGCAAGGUCAAGUGACUCUCUCAGAAGAUGAUUUUCUAUUAAUAAACUGCACUUAUUCAGCCACUGGGUACCCGACUCUUUUCUGGUAUGUCCAAUAUCCUGGAAAAGGCCUAGAGCUGCUUUUGAAAGUCACAACAGCCAACAACAAGGGAAGCAGCAGAGGGUUUGAAGCUACAUAUGAUCAAGGAUCCACUUCCUUCCACUUGCAGAAAGCAUCAGUUCAAGAGUCAGAUUCGGCUGUGUACUACUGUGCUCUCAGUGACACAGUGGCAGAAACCACAGAGGGUGCUGAGCACAAACUCUGA